GAAUGAAGAACGUAGCGAAAUGCGAUAAGUAAUGUGAAUUGCAGAAUUCAGUGAAUCAUCGAAUCUUUGAACGCACAUUGCGCCCCCUGGUAUUCCGGGGGGCAUGCCUGUCCGAGCGUCAUUACAACCCUCAAGCUCAGCUUGGUGUUGGGCCCCGCCGCCCCGGCGGGCCCUAAAGUCAGUGGCGGUGCCGUCCGGCUCCGAGCGUAGUAAUUCUUCUCGCUCUGGAGGUCCGGUCGUGUGCUCGCCAGCAACCCCCAAUUUUUUUCAGGUUGACCUCGGAUCAGGUAGGGAUACCCGCUGAACUUAAGCAUAUCAAUAAGCGGAGGA
rnacentral:misc_RNA from 1 species